AUUUAUUUUUGCCAUGACCGCCCAGAUUCUGUCUAAUCUCAGAAGCUACGCAGGGUUGGGCCUGGUUAGUACUUGGAUGGGAGACCUCCGUGAAUAGCAGGUGUCGAUG
rnacentral:rRNA from 1 species